GUUUUUUGGCGAGUUGUCAGGAGGAGACGCCAUUAGUUCGCUUGCUUUGCUGGAUUUUCCUAAUUUUUGUGUGCUUUCUGCGUUGGCGGGUGCCUUCAGAUUCGGUUUAUGAGUCUUGAGUUUUUGAUGUAUCUGACCAAGUGAUGCAGGAACUCGAAUUGGGUGCGGUGAUCUAGUUCGAUGUUGAGGCCCAGCACGUUUGGGCGGUGCAGUGUAAGAGGGCAUGUUCAGUUGUUUCUGGCUCUUCGCACUCAAGGCAGUUUGGGUUUUCUUGUGGCAUCAGUCUGGCCAUCUGUGCCUUUAGUCUGUUGUGUCCGGUUCUCAGCCUGAAGAGUAUUUGUGUUAUCUUCCUAGACUUGUGCUGGUGCCAUUUGAGGGAUCCGGUAGUGCUUGUAGAUGGCUGUUUGCUCGGAGAUUGAUAAUGGGUUAUUUGAUCUGUUUGAGGAUUCGUUGGAUGAGCUUUCUUGUGAAGCUAUGGUGUCUGCUCUCUCAUUCCCCGGGAUGCCAACAUGGCUUGGGAUCCAACAGAUCCUGGUUUUGGUGAUGCUAGUGCUUUUACUACUGACUUGGAGUCAGUAUAGACGAUUAGUUCCUGGAUGUCUUGAGGGAGAUUGUACACUAUUUCCAUUGCCCUGUGGAUUCCGUAGGCUUCUGCCGUAAAGAUGGAUGAACCCUCAGUGAGUGUACCAGCUUCUUCGAUGUUUAACGUUGGGAGUACUACUGCAUAGGUCGUAUUUUUUGUUUCUUUAUUCAGUGAUCCAUCCGUGUACGCUUCUGUUCCGUUUUCUGUCUGGGCCUUAUAUUCUUGAAAGAGCGCCCUGGCUUUCGUCUGGUUAGCGAGAGCUUCUUUCUUUCCAAUUUGCAGGUAGUCGAGGGUGAUCGGCAUUUCGGUCCAUGGUGGGGGUUGGUUGCGCCGGGAUUCGUGAGCCCUCGCUUCUUCAUACAGGUUUAGGUCGGCCAAGAUAGUGUGUGCUGUUGCUAGCUUUAGGGCGGGUGUGUUGUGCUCCUUCCAAUUUACUGGCUUUCUUCUGAGGUUGUAGCAUGGUUGGUGCAUCGGGUGGUUGGGUUGCUUGUCGACUCUAAUGAGGUAUCGUCCGGAUAACCAGCUUUUCCUCGUGGUUAUUGGUUGGAGGUCUAGUUCUAGAAGCAUUUCUUUAAUGGGCGUUGAUUGGGGUGCCCCUAAGAUGAUUCUCAUUGUGCCAUUUUGAAUGGCUUCGAUCUUCUUUUGUCUGUUUUGGCUUGAUGUUCCUGCAACCAUGAUUCCGUAGUCUAUUCUGCUCCGUACGAGUGCUUUGUACAUAAUUACUAGUGAGUCAAUGCUCGGCCCGUGUUUUGUGUUAGUUAGUAUCUUGAAGAGGUUUUUGAGUUUCGAUGUUUUUUGGAUCACGGCUUCCGUUUGCCGUGUCCAGCGUAGUCCAUGGUCGAAGUACACUCCCAGGUGCUUUAUUUCCUUCACUUCCGGGAUUUUUGAACCGGUUAUGAAUAGGAGGGGGUUUAUUUGCUUCUUUUUUUGUCUUGUGAAGUUUAUGAGACUGGAUUUGGGGGCGGAGAACUUGAAUCGCCAUUUUUUGGCCCAUGCCGUGACUUCAUCCAGGUAUGGGGUUAGUUUAACUUCCGCGUCUCGUCCAUUUUCAGCGAGUAUAUGGCAUUCUAUGUCGUCGGCGAAUAGCAGGGUUUCUCCUGGUUCCUUGAUAAUGGGCAGGUCAUCUAGCAUGACUGAGAAGAGUAGCGGGCUAAGGGGGGAUCCUUGUGGGACACCGAUUUUGAGCUCUCGGUCCUCUGAGACGUUCUGUCCUAUCUGGACAUUGAAUGUUCUGUUUGUCAGGAAGUUUUUUAACCAUGCUAGUGUUUUUCCAGUUAUUCCUUUUGCGCUUAGUUUGUACAGUAGGCCUUGUAUCCAGGUAGUGUCAAAAGCCUUUGAGAUGUCUAGGAAUACUGCGUAGGUGUUCAUAGGGUUUAUUUUGUUGAAUCCUUUUCUG